AGGUAUGACUUUCCGAUGAUAAUAUGUAUUAUGCAACCAGAACAACAGGAAUUUUUGCAGUUGUGCAAAAGUGUGUAGCUCUUCUUCGCUCACAGGCCUUUAACUGAUAGUGAUUUGUUAGGUAUUUUUGAAAACCGUCUCCCACACAUGCAAUUAAAUAUUUCUGUUUAAAAUUUUUUCUGAUCUGUGUUCGCUUUCCUUUUUUUGUAUAUCCUUCGUAGAAACUAUGCUACGCUACAUCGUCGGCAGUAUAAUAAUAUUGUGACAACCUUAACAAAUAUUUUUAUUUUUUUUAAAUAAGUUAAUAACAAAAAAUACAAUAAAAGCUGUUGGCAAUUUUAUCCUGUGGUGGGUUUUUAAAUGUUCUAGAACGUAGUCCAUCUUCCAUUCAUUUUAAAAGUUUGCUUUUAAAAAAGAAAAUUGUAUUUUGACAAAAUGGCCAGCCAUAGUCCUAGUAAAAAGUUAAGAAGAUUGUCUAAUUCCCACAAAGUGGCUGGAUUUAACGUGGAAAUUCAAAACGCCGUGGAAGAAAUAGAUUCACUUCAAAGGGAGUUGGAUAAAAUUAAUGAGGAUGCCAGUCAAGAAAUUUUGCAGCUCCAACAGAAACAUAACCACAUCAGAACGCCGUAUUUGCACAAACGGGUCCAAAUUAUCAGCAAUAUUCCCAACUUCUGGUUUACAGCUGUAUCCUUUUUAUUCAAAUGCUCAAGUGAUUCUGGCAUGAGGAAAUUGAUUUGUUUCACUACUUGAAGAAUUUAAUAAGGAAGUGUCAGGAGAUGUUAUAAAAUUCUAUUUUGAUGAAAAUCCGUACUUUGAGAAUAUUUGUCUUACUAAAGAACUCCAUCUCCGCAAGGGUAAACCUAUGACCACAAUAUUUCCCAAAAUAUUUGCCCAAAAAAUUACAUUUUCAGAAGUUCCCUAUUCCAGAAGUAGAACAAUCAUCUGGAACGGACAGCAAUUGGGCUUUCAUCAUCAGGAAGUGAACAAGUCAAGAAAACGACGCUUAAAAUCAAUGAAUCAUAGUUUCUUUAGUUGGUUUAAUAAUAAUGUUGAUCCACACACAGAUGAUAUUGCAUUCAUCAUCAAAGAUGACUUGUGGUUAAGUCCACUUAAGUACUACCUCGUUGCUCAUAGUGAAGAAGAAGUGAAUGGAAUAGGAGGUGAUGAGAAUAAUAGUGAAAUAUAAAGAUGAAGUGGGUGAGAGCAACAACAGAUCAUCAUCUACGCUGGCUGGAUAUUUUGAUGUGAGUGCAAUUUAGAUAAGUAUUUGUUUCCUGUUAUGUACAGGUUAUAAUUCUAUAUAAGUUUAUUUUUGUAAAGAAGUACUUAUCUGAAAGGAAUAAAGUUUUGCAUUAGCGGUG